rnacentral:misc_RNA from 1 species
GAACAAACACUCAUAUCACAAACUUAUUAUAGAACACUGAAUUGAUCAUAAUCAUACCAACAAAGAAGAUGAACUCCAAUUCAAGCUUUCUCCUCAUCAACUUCCUUCCCAUUCAUCCUCUCAAGGACAGUAAUCAGCCCAUGAAUGCCCAUCUUCCCUUUUCCCUGAGCUACCAUCCCCACAAACAACUGCUUACACUGCGCCGCACCCGGAAUCACCACUGGAGCCGCCCCCUCGUCCCCAAGAAAUUCCAGCCCCAUCCCCAGAUCCUUUACCAUGUACUCCGGAAACCCGCCGGGACGGAAAUCCCUCUUGAGCAUCCUCUCCCCGUAAAGCUCCAUCGACCUGGACCUCGAUGUUCCCUCCAUCAUCGCCUCCAAAAACAUCUUCUCAUCCAGCCCCUCCGCUCGCGCAAACGUGAGGCAUUCACUCAGCCCCAGUAGGCUGCCGCCGACAACAAUCUGGUUGGCGAUCUUGCUGCUCUGGCCGCAGCCAGCAUCCCCCAUCCAUGUCGCUUUCCCCAUGACGUUGAAAAGCGGGGCCAACCACACAAUAAUUGAUUGCUCGCCUCCGGCGAGGAUGGCGAGUGUGCCGUCACGAGCACCGGUGUCGCCGCCGGACACGGGGGCGUCGAUGGCCCAGCAGCCGUGGUCGCGGGCGGCUGCGGCGAUCUCGCGGGCGAGGGCGGGGGAGCUGCUGGUCAUGUCGACGAAGACGGAGGAGGGGGCAAGGGAGGGGAAGGCGGCAUGGGCGAUGGACCGGACGUCGGCG